rnacentral:tRNA from 1 species
GGAUUUGUGCCUGAACAAAGGGUUACUUUGAUAGAGUAAAUAUGAAGGUUAAAACCCUUCCAACUCCU